rnacentral:rRNA from 1 species
CCUACGGGGGGCUGCAGUGAGGAAUAUUGGCCAAUGGGCGGGAGCCUGAACCAGCCAAGUCGCGUGAGGGAAGACGGUCCUAUGGAUUGUAAACCUCUUUAGGCGGGGAGCAAUGCCGGGCACGCGUGCCCGGAGGGAGAGUACCCGCAGAAUAAGCAUCGGCUAACUCCGUGCCAGCAGCCGCGGUAAUACGGAGGAUGCGAGCGUUAUCCGGAUUUAUGGGGUUUAAAGGGUGCGUAGGCGGAUUUUUAAGUCAGCGGUAAAAUGUCCGGGCUCAACCCGGGCCGGCCGUUGAAACUGGGGAUCUUGAGUGGGCGAGAAGUAUGCGGAAUGCGUGGUGUAGCGGUGAAAUGCAUAGAUAUCACGCAGAACUCCGAUUGCGAAGGCAGCAUACCGGCGCCCGACUGACGCUGAGGCACGAAAGCGUGGGGAUCGAACAGGAUUAGAUACCCCUGUAGUC